GGUCUUGACAUCCCGGGAAUCUUGUGGAAACACGAGAGUGCCUCGCAAAGAGGAGCCUGGAGACAGGUGCUGCAUGGCUGUCGUCAGCUCGUGUCGUGAGAGUGUUCGGGUUAAGUCCCGCAACGAGCCGCAACCCCUAUCUUUAGUUGCCAUCAUUGAGUUGGGCACCCUAAAGAGACUGCCGGUGUCAAACCGGAGGAAGGUGGGGAUGACGUCAAGUCCUCAUGGCCUUUAUGACCAGGGCUACACACGUACUACAAUGGCCGGUACAAAGGGCAGCGACACAGCGAUGUGAAGCGAAUCCCGAAAAAGCCGGUCUCAGUCCGGAUUGGAGUCUGCAACUCGACUGCGUGAAGUCGGAAUCGCUAGUAAUCGUGGAUCAGCAUGUCACGGUGAAUACGUUCCCGGGUCUU
rnacentral:rRNA from 1 species